rnacentral:lncRNA from 1 species
GGGGGGGGUUAGAUGGGCUGCGGAAACAGAUUCCCAGGGGCUUCUCUUUUUUUCCUUUUUUUCUUUUCUGUUUUCAUUUUCCAAGACAUUUUCCAAAAGAGCAUUUUUGAGCAUAACAAAUAAGACAAAACAAAAGCAACACACAAAAUAAAUGCUAUUCUCAGCAUGAAUGCAAAAGCAUGUUGCUAGCCUUAUGAUGAAUUUUAUUCUCAACGAAAUAAUUUUAUUUGCUAGGUUUAAAUGCCCACAAAAAAUACUUAAACAAGUCAAAUUAAUUCCUAUUAAUUCGAAAGCAAAUUUUUGGGUGUUACAUCUUAUCAUAUAAAUUUGGUCAAACUUGAAAUACUUUAACUCUUCAAGAUUCUUGGAAUAACUUAGAGUUUGGGAUGGAGGAAGUAAUAAAUCUACUACACCCUAUAAGUAUAAAGGUCCACAACCAAUUGAGGAAAUGUAAUCGCACCAAAUCAAUUUAUAUUUCAUCUUUUUACUAUUUUAUGCUUUUUAUUAUUUCUUAAACCCUACAUUUCCAUCCCCCGUGUGAUGUUCUCCGGAGCAUCUCAAUGGUGUUUGUGGCCUUUUGAUAAUUUUUAGUUUUUUUAUUGAAACCGUGGACCAAAGCUCCCUAGAAAAUCAUAUACUCUUAUAAAGCUAAAGCCCACUAGAUGGUUUCUCUCUUCAUGCAAGGUGUCAACAUCUUUCCCCACUAAGUGACCCACUAAAUGUUCUAUCUCUUCAUGCAAGGUGUCCACGUCAUUCCCCACUAAGUCUAUGUCAUCCCAUAUUAAUUACAAAAAAUAUCUAUCUCAUCUAUAUCAUCUGAAUACUUUAAAUAUUUAAUCUAUUAACAUACAAUUCAUCUAUAUAUGCUAUUUGUUUCAUCACAUAUUCCUUUAUAAUGUAAUCAAAUAUUCUAUCAAUUUUUUUCUAUUAGCUUAGCGAUUGUUUACCAAAUCUACUACAAUAAAAUAACAUGCAAGUCAAAUUCAUAUAUGUAUAUAUAUGUAUACACAAUAUACUGAAUAUCAAAUAGUAAUGUUAUGUAUAUAACGAUUUAUAUUUUAAGAAAAUCCCGUAGCAACGCGCGGGGAAUUUACCUAGUAUAUUUAAAAAAACAAAGACAAGUUUUUUUUUACUGAACUGGAGGGGCCGAGGCCCCUGCAGAAUUUAUUGAAAACAAGAAAGGUAAAUUACAAGUUACAAGCAGGGUGAAGAACCCCAGUCAGAACAAAAUUAGGAGACAAAAAAGGAAAGGAAAAAAAUAGAAAAGCAUUUGGAAUCAAUUACAGAUUUUGUA